rnacentral:misc_RNA from 1 species
UAGUUCACCAUGGACUAUAGUUAUAAACCUCAUGGGACCUACAUGUGGAUAUCACUUCUUGUCUCUGUAGUCCAUGAUGGAAUAGGUCCGUGCAAUAUUUUGUUCUCAAGGUGACCAAGGGCUGCAUGAUGAGGGGAAUGGGAUAACAGACUAGCUCUCUUGUUUUAUAAUCUCCCUGACCAUGAUAAAGGCUGGACUUUAUCCUAUGCUUUUUAAUUUGAUGCCCUUUAUGUCUUUCCAGCAUUCUUGUUUGCACAUUGGCUUCGAUUCUAACAUAAUUAACUUGGAUUACUCAACAAUUAAAUGUUUUGAUUUCCAUUAUUCUUAAAUAAUUUGUUUUGCACUUAACACAGUUUAAUGUAUUCCGUUAACUCCAAUCAUAUGAUUGUAAAGAGUCUCAUGUCAUGUAUCUUUAGUUUUUAUCCUAUAUGCUUGGCUGGCUACCAAAAUCUUUAUUUUUAUUGUGGAGUAGUAACUUUAAUUAACACAUGCAUCCAUAUCUCAACGUGGUUUGGGGAACUUUCUAAGCAUUGUAGAUUUGGAAAAUACAGAGUUCUAUUGGUUGUUACAGGCUCUAGCUGAUUAUGUGCCUAUCAUAUAUUUCAGAUAAGCAAGCAAGCAGCAUCAACUUGUAAAGAG